UUGGGACAAUAUGAAAGACUCCUCUGAAAACUGACUUUUGAUAUUUCCAGGGAUAAACAAUGGAAAUGUUCUGACGAAAUGGAAUGGUUGCAUUAGUGUAUCAAUCAACCUACAGGUGGCCAUGUCCUUCGUCCUCUUGCAGCCUCUCCGCUUAUUGGACUGAAGGGGGACCAUGGUAUGAAUGGAGGCUACAAGCAGCAGUUGACAAGUGCUUCAGUACAGGAAAGACAACCUGGAAGGCCCAAAAUUUGAGAAGAACUUGGCAGAAGUUUGAAAGACACUGGAUACACAGAUGCUCAGGAUGAAGAGAUAACACCUUCUGGCUCAUCUUCUUUUUGCUUUUAAUCUACUGCUCUUCCAAAAAUAAAUUUUCAUUUCCUGUGAAUGUUACAGAAUGGUUUAGGUUCAUUGAGUGUAAGAACUAGGCACUUGGGAAGCAAAUAUAUUGCUUUUCUGUAAACUGAGUAGUAAGAGUAAAUAUCUCUAUCACAAU
rnacentral:lncRNA from 1 species